UACGGGGGGAGCAAGCGUUGUUCGGAUUUACUGGGCGUAAAGGGCGCGUAGGCGGCCAGCACAAGUCAGUUGUGAAAUCUCCGAGCUUAACUCGGAAAGGUCAACUGAUACUGUGCGGCUAGAGUGCGGAAGGGGCAACUGGAAUUCUUGGUGUAGCGGUGAAAUGCGUAGAUAUCAAGAGGAACACCUGCGGCGAAGGCGGGUUGCUGGGCCGACACUGACGCUGAGGCGCGAAAGCCUGGGGAGCGAACGGG
rnacentral:rRNA from 1 species